AACAUGCAGCUACUUUCUACUAGAAGCAUAAUACCAAGGCCUGCAGUGGGGGAUAGAGCUUCCCAGGUGGCUCUGCAGUAAAGAAUCUGCCUGUCUAGCAGGAGAUAUAGAUUCAGUCCCUGGGUCAGGAAGAUCCUCUGGAGAAGGAAAUGGCAAGGUGAUUUUAUGCAGAAGUUCUCAACUGUUGAUCCCUUCUAGAGGAGCCCUUCUGCAAGAGGAUUCCAGGAGGAGCAUCACAAUUUUCACAUGCCCUACUAACUGAAGGAAUUGGAAACUCCAGCCAGAAUUCAUUCCCUGGGCACUGCCAUUCCUGGUGGCCAGAGAGACUGUUUGGUGACAUCGCCCUCCUGUGGCAACACUUGUAACUGUUCAGCAGGGCCUGGGUUCACUCUUCUUCCCAUUGUUUGUCUCUGUCUCUUUUUUCUCAUUGUGUCUUUAAUAAUCGUUCCAAAGUCAGCUCUGAACCUUGCCUGGCAGAGCGUCCCAUGGAGUUGGCCUCCCUUUCAGCCACUGACUGGCGGGGUGUGGGGCUGCCCUUUGAAAGCUCCCUUGAAUUAGUAACAAUG
ensembl:lncRNA